rnacentral:rRNA from 1 species
AGAGUUUGAUCAUGGCUCAGGAUGAACGCUGGCGGCGUGCCUAACACAUGCAAGUCGAGCGAAGCACUUUGCUUAGAUUCUUCGGAUGAAGAGGAUUGUGACUGAGCGGCGGACGGGUGAGUAACGCGUGGGUAACCUGCCUCAUACAGGGGGAUAACAGUUAGAAAUGACUGCUAAUACCGCAUAAGACCACAGCACCGCAUGGUGCGGGGGUAAAAACUCCGGUGGUAUGAGAUGGACCCGCGUCUGAUUAGCUAGUUGGUAAGGUAACGGCUUACCAAGGCGACGAUCAGUAGCCGACCUGAGAGGGUGACCGGCCACAUUGGGACUGAGACACGGCCCAAACUCCUACGGGAGGCAGCAGUGGGGAAUAUUGCACAAUGGGGGAAACCCUGAUGCAGCGACGCCGCGUGAGCGAAGAAGUAUUUCGGUAUGUAAAGCUCUAUCAGCAGGGAAGAAAAUGACGGUACCUGACUAAGAAGCACCGGCUAAAUACGUGCCAGCCGCCGCGGUAAUAC